rnacentral:rRNA from 1 species
GACGAACGCUGGCGGCGUGCUUAACACAUGCAAGUCGAACGAAGUGGCGAACGGGUGAGUAACGCGUAAUCAACCUGCCCUUCAGAGGGGGACAACAGUUGGAAACGACUGCUAAUACCGACUACUGAAGGCGGGGAUUGCGUCUGAUUGGCUAGUGGGAGGGGGAACGGCCCACCAAGGCGAUGAUUAGUAGCCGGUGUGAGAGGAUGAACGGCGACAUUGGGACUGAGACACGGCCCAGACUCCUACGGGAGGCAGCAGUGGGGAAUCUUCCGAAAUGGACGAAAGUCUGACGGAGCAACGCCGCGGGAGUGAUGACGGCGUUCGGGUUGUAAAGCUCUGUUAAUCGGGACGCGGUACCGGAAUAGAAAGCCACGGCUAACUACGUGCCAGCAGCCGCGGUAAUUC